GGGGAAUAUUGCACAAUGGGCGCAAGCCUGAUGCAGCGACGCCGCGUGCGGGAUGACGGCCUUCGGGUUGUAAACCGCUUUUGACUGGGAGCAAGCCCUUCGGGGUGAGUGUACCUUUCGAAUAAGCACCGGCUAACUACGUGCCAGCAGCCGCGGUAAUACGUAGGGUGCAAGCGUUAUCCGGAAUUAUUGGGCGUAAAGGGCUCGUAGGCGGUUCGUCGCGUCCGGUGUGAAAGUCCAUCGCUUAACGGUGGAUCCGCGCCGGGUACGGGCGGGCUUGAGUGCGGUAGGGGAGACUGGAAUUCCCGGUGUAACGGUGGAAUGUGUAGAUAUCGGGAAGAACACCAAUGGCGAAGGCAGGUCUCUGGGCCGUCACUGACGCUGAGGAGCGAAAGCGUGGGGAGCGAACAGGAUUAGAUACCCUGGUAGUCCACGCCGUAAACGGUGGAUGCUGGAUGUGGGGACCAUUCCACGGUCUCCGUGUCGGAGCCAACGCGUUAAGCAUCCCGCCUGGGGAGUACGGCCGCAAGGCUAAAACUCAAAGAAAUUGACGGGGGCCCGCACAAGCGGCGGAGCAUGCGGAUUAAUUCGAUGCAACGCGAAGAACCUUACCUGGGCUUGACAUGUUCCCGACAGCCGUAGAGAUACGGUCUCCCUUCGGGGCGGGUUCACAGGUGGUGCAUGGUCGUCGUCAGCUCGUGUCGUGAGAUGUUGGGUUAAGUCCCGCAACGAGCGCAACCCUCGCCCUGUGUUGCCAGCACGUCGUGGUGGGAACUCACGGGGGACCGCCGGGGUCAACUCGGAGGAAGGUGGGGAUGACGUCAGAUCAUCAUGCCCCUUACGUCCAGGGCUUCACGCAUGCUACAAUGGCCGGUACAACGGGAUGCGACACGGCGACGUGGAGCGGAUCCCUGAAAACCGGUCUCAGUUCGGAUUGGAGUCUGCAACCCGACUCCAUGAAGGCGGAGUCGCUAGUAAUCGCGGAUCAGCAACGCCGCGGUGAAUGCGUUCCCG
rnacentral:rRNA from 1 species